UACAGAGGGGGCGAGCGUUGUUCGGAAUUACUGGGCGUAAAGGGCGCGUAGGCGGCCUUCUAAGUCGAACGUGAAAUCCCCGGGCUCAACCCGGGAACUGCGUCCGAUACUGGGAGGCUUGAAUCCGGGAGAGGGAUGUGGAAUUCCAGGUGUAGCGGUGAAAUGCGUAGAUAUCUGGAAGGAACACCGGUGGCGAAGGCGGCAUCCUGGACCCGGUAUUGACGCUGAGGCGCGAAAAGCCAGGGGAGCAAAGCGGGG
rnacentral:rRNA from 1 species